CAAGUCUCAACUAGUUUCGCUCCACGUACAUGCAAUCAUUAUCGAUGACGUGAAUGCAUUGAAAUUAGAAGACGUUCACCAUCGUUCCAUGGAAAUUAUACUAAUCAAUGGUGGUAUAUACAACUGCAUACAUACGUGCAAGUGUAUUU
rnacentral:lncRNA from 1 species